GGGGCGGGUGCACGUUGCGUCAUCGGGGCGCGCUCAGCGGACGACGUUGUGGUUGCCGGAAGUUGAGCUGCGCAAGCAACAAAUAAUGGCAGCAGCUACAGGGGAUCCUGGACUCUCCAAAUUACAGUUUGCCCCCUUUAGCAGUGCCUUGGAUGUUGGAUUCUGGCAUGAGUUGACCCAGAAGAAGCUGAAUGAGUAUCGGCUGGAUGAAGCUCCUAAGGACAUUAAGGGUUAUUACUACAAUGGUGAUUCUGCUGGGCUGCCAACUCGCUUAACACUGGAGUUCAGUGCUUUUGACAUGAGUGCACCCACCCCAGCCCAUUGCUGCCCAGCUGUUGGAACACUAUAUAACACCAACACACUCGAGGCUUUCAAGGCUGCAGAUAAGAAGCUACUAUUGGAACAAGCAGCAAAUGAGAUAUGGGAAUCCAUAAAAUCUGGUGCUGCUCUUGAAAACCCUGUCCUCCUCAACAAGUUUCUCCUCUUGACAUUUGCAGAUCUAAAGAAGUACCAUUUCUACUAUUGGUUUUGCUCUCCUGCCCUCUGCCUUCCAGAGAGCAUACCCCUCAUUCAGAAGCCAGUGGGCUUGGAUCAAAGGUUUUCACCAAAACAGAUUCAAGCCCUUGAGCGUGCAUAUGAUGAUCUUUGUCAAACAGAAGGAGUCUCAGCGCUACCUUACUUCUUGAUCAAGUAUGAUGAGAACAUGGUGCUGGUUUCCUUGCUUAAACACUGCAGUGAUUUCUUCAAGGGUCAAAGGACAAAGAUAACAAUUGGUGUAUAUGAUCCCUGUAACUUAGCGCAGUACCCCGGAUGGCCUUUGAGGAAUUUUUUGGUCCUAGCAGCCCACAGAUGGAGUAGCUGUUUCCCAUCUGUCGAAGUUCUCUGCUUCAGGGACCGCACCAUGCAGGGGGUUAGAGAUAUCACUCACAGCAUCAUCUUCGAAGUGAAGCUUCCAGAAAUGGCAUUUAGCCCAGAUUGUCCCAAAGCAGUUGGAUGGGAAAAGAACCAGAAAGGAGGCAUGGGACCAAGGAUGGUGAACCUCAGUGAAUGUAUGGACCCUAAAAGGUUAGCUGAGUCAUCAGUGGAUCUAAAUCUCAAAUUGAUGUGUUGGAGAUUGGUGCCUACUUUGGACUUAGACAAAGUCGUGUCUGCCAAAUGUCUGCUGCUUGGAGCCGGCACCCUGGGUUGUAAUGUAGCUAGGACACUGAUGGGGUGGGGCGUCAGACACAUCACAUUUGUGGACAAUGCCAAGAUCUCCUACUCCAAUCCUGUGAGGCAGCCUCUCUAUGAAUUUGAAGAUUGCCUAGCAGGUGGCAAGGCCAAGGCCCUGGCUGCAGCAGACCGGCUCCAGAGAAUAUUCCCCGGAGUGAAUGCCAGAGGGUUCAACAUGAGCAUCCCCAUGCCUGGACAUCCAGUGAACUUCUCCAGUGUCACCCUGGAGCAAGCCCGCAGGGAUGUGGAACAGCUGGAGCAGCUCAUCGAUAGCCAUGACAUUGUCUUUCUGUUGAUGGACACCAGGGAGAGCCGGUGGCUUCCUGCUGUCAUUGCUGCGAGCAAGAGAAAGCUGGUCAUCAAUGCUGCCUUGGGCUUUGACACAUUUGUUGUCAUGAGACACGGCUUGAAGAAACCUAAGCAGCAGGGGGCUGGGGACUUGUGUCCCAGCCACCCAGUGGUAGCUGCUGACCUUCUGGGCUCGUCACUUUUUGCCAACAUCCCUGGCUACAAACUUGGCUGCUAUUUCUGUAAUGAUGUGGUGGCCCCGGGAGAUUCAACGAGAGACCGGACCUUGGACCAGCAGUGCACUGUGAGUCGUCCAGGACUGGCCAUGAUUGCAGGAGCCCUGGCAGUGGAAUUGAUGGUCUCUGUUUUGCAACAUCCAGAAGGGGGCUAUGCUAUUGCCAGCAGCAGUGAUGACCGCAUGAAUGAGCCUCCAACCUCUCUUGGGCUUGUGCCUCACCAGAUCCGAGGAUUUCUUUCACGGUUUGAUAAUGUCCUUCCUGUCAGCCUGGCAUUUGACAAAUGUACCGCUUGUUCUUCCAAAGUUCUUGAUCAAUAUGAACGAGAAGGAUUUAAUUUCCUAGCGAAGGUGUUUAAUUCUUCACAUUCCUUCUUAGAAGACUUGACCGGUCUUACAUUGCUGCAUCAAGAGACCCAAGCUGCUGAGUCUUAGCAUUGUGCCAUCACUGGAUAAAUGAAAUCAGAACGCCUGGGGGCCAGGAGACUACUUAGGAAAUGCCUUCUCUCAGGGCAGAUUUCUUCGAUGGUUUCUUCCUUGGACUGUCCCACCCCGCUGUUGAUCUUCCUGCGGAUCUGGGACAUGAGUGACGACGAGACCGUCUGACACGGCUCAUCCUCGCGUGGCCAGCUUCUCCCCGCUGAGGCGCUCGGUGGCCAGAGUGACUGCAGCCUCAGGAUUGGUGACUCUGGGCUCUGUGCCCCUCCAACUUUUCUGGUCCUUUCCUGUCCAUACCUUGAGGACUGGGGCCCUCCCUCUGCGGCCCAGGAGCCUCUGGUGUUCUCCAUGUCUCAUGAUUCCUCAUCUCACCAGUUCUGAGCUAAAUAAUAACCUUGGUAAUGCCACCAAUCUGGGCCUUGGUUCCCUCCAUGAGCAGUUCUUUGUUGUUGUCACAGUGUUUGAUAGUCAAGCUCCCAGGAUCCUUUCUGCCUUGGCCCCCAUGAGGUGACGACAAUGAGGACUGGGAGGAGUUGGCCCAACAGACUAAAAGGGCAAGUGAGAGAAACCAGCUCAGCUGACACCACCCUCCCACAGCCAAGUGGGGGCUGCUUCCUCGUUGGUGCCUUGGAAGCCCUCAGUCCAGUGUGGGGUGGCUGUCUCUAUGUGUGUGCCUCAGUCUAUGUCCAGGUGUCCGACAGGCACAAGGUGGUUCAGAUGGGCUCAGGUGUGUAUCACUCAGGCUUGGACCAAGUUUUUAUCAUCCCGGGUUUGCACAUCUGUGACACCCACGGAGGUGGGUAUGGAAACCCCGGAGAGAGGAGGUACCCUCUCCACACGCCUUUUAUCCUUGUGGUGUCAUCUUUAGUCUCAUGCCUGGAACCAAAGUCAAAAUGGAGUCUGAGACUGACUCUUACCAGAGUAGGAUUUCUGUAGGUUAGGUUUUAAAUGAUGCUUCUUGGAGUUAAAUUAUAAUUUUCCAGCCCAUGUGGGGCUUAAAUAGGGGAACCUUGGUAGACAGGUACAGGGCCACCGAGCACCCCACCCCCAGGCCUCACAUCAAAGGCCCUGGCACUCCAGGACCCAAGGAUCACACAUAUAGUCCGUGGUUUAAGAGCACUUUAUUAUUGUUCUUAAGGCUACUUUUAAGUACAAAAAAAAGAUGGCCUGCCAAACCUUUUUUUUUUCUUCUUCUUCCAGGAAAAACAGGC